rnacentral:rRNA from 1 species
AAAUUGAAGAGUUUGAUCAUGGCUCAGAUUGAACGCUGGCGGCAGGCCUAACACAUGCAAGUCGAACGGUAACAGGAAGCAGCUUGCUGCUUCGCUGACGAGUGGCGGACGGGUGAGUAAUGUCUGGGAAACUGCCUGAUGGAGGGGGAUAACUACUGGAAACGGUAGCUAAUACCGCAUAAUGUCGCAAGACCAAAGAGGGGGACCUUCGGGCCUCUUGCCAUCGGAUGUGCCCAGAUGGGAUUAGCUUGUUGGUGGGGUAACGGCUCACCAAGGCGACGAUCCCUAGCUGGUCUGAGAGGAUGACCAGCCACACUGGAACUGAGACACGGUCCAGACUCCUACGGGAGGCAGCAGUGGGGAAUAUUGCACAAUGGGCGCAAGCCUGAUGCAGCCAUGCCGCGUGUAUGAAGAAGGCCUUCGGGUUGUAAAGUACUUUCAGCGGGGAGGAAGGGAGUAAAGUUAAUACCUUUACUCAUUGACGUUACCCGCAGAAGAAGCACCGGCUAACUCCGUGCCAGCAGCCGCGGUAAUACGGAGGGUGCAAGCGUUAAUCGGAAUUACUGGGCGUAAAGCGCACGCAGG